UUAAGCGACUAAGCGUACACGGUGGAUGCCCUGGCAGUCAGAGGCGAUGAAGGACGUGCUAAUCUGCGAUAAGCGUCGGUAAGGUGAUAUGAACCGUUAUAACCGGCGAUUUCCGAAUGGGGAAACCCAGUGUGUUUCGACACACUAUCAUUAACUGAAUCCAUAGGUUAAUGAGGCGAACCGGGGGAACUGAAACAUCUAAGUACCCCGAGGAAAAGAAAUCAACCGAGAUUCCCCCAGUAGCGGCGAGCGAACGGGGAGGAGCCCAGAGCCUGAAUCAGUGUGUGUGUUAGUGGAAGCGUCUGGAAAGGCGCGCGAUACAGGGUGACAGCCCCGUACACAAAAAUGCACAUGCUGUGAGCUCGAUGAGUAGGGCGGGACACGUGGUAUCCUGUCUGAAUAUGGGGGGACCAUCCUCCAAGGCUAAAUACUCCUGACUGACCGAUAGUGAACCAGUACCGUGAGGGAAAGGCGAAAAGAACCCCGGCGAGGGGAGUGAAAAAGAACCUGAAACCGUGUACGUACAAGCAGUGGGAGCACGCUUCGGCGUGUGACUGCGUACCUUUUGUAUAAUGGGUCAGCGACUUAUAUUCUGUAGCAAGGUUAACCGAAUAGGGGAGCCGAAGGGAAACCGAGUCUUAACUGGGCGUUAAGUUGCAGGGUAUAGACCCGAAACCCGGUGAUCUAGCCAUGGGCAGGUUGAAGGUUGGGUAACACUAACUGGAGGACCGAACCGACUAAUGUUGAAAAAUUAGCGGAUGACUUGUGGCUGGGGGUGAAAGGCCAAUCAAACCGGGAGAUAGCUGGUUCUCCCCGAAAGCUAUUUAGGUAGCGCCUCGUGAAUUCAUCUCCGGGGGUAGAGCACUGUUUCGGCAAGGGGGUCAUCCCGACUUACCAACCCGAUGCAAACUGCGAAUACCGGAGAAUGUUAUCACGGGAGACACACGGCGGGUGCUAACGUCCGUCGUGAAGAGGGAAACAACCCAGACCGCCAGCUAAGGUCCCAAAGUCAUGGUUAAGUGGGAAACGAUGUGGGAAGGCCCAGACAGCCAGGAUGUUGGCUUAGAAGCAGCCAUCAUUUAAAGAAAGCGUAAUAGCUCACUGGUCGAGUCGGCCUGCGCGGAAGAUGUAACGGGGCUAAACCAUGCACCGAAGCUGCGGCAGCGACGCUUAUGCGUUGUUGGGUAGGGGAGCGUUCUGUAAGCCUGUGAAGGUGUACUGUGAGGUAUGCUGGAGGUAUCAGAAGUGCGAAUGCUGACAUAAGUAACGAUAAAGCGGGUGAAAAGCCCGCUCGCCGGAAGACCAAGGGUUCCUGUCCAACGUUAAUCGGGGCAGGGUGAGUCGACCCCUAAGGCGAGGCCGAAAGGCGUAGUCGAUGGGAAACAGGUUAAUAUUCCUGUACUUGGUGUUACUGCGAAGGGGGGACGGAGAAGGCUAUGUUGGCCGGGCGACGGUUGUCCCGGUUUAAGCGUGUAGGCUGGUUUUCCAGGCAAAUCCGGAAAAUCAAGGCUGAGGCGUGAUGACGAGGCACUACGGUGCUGAAGCAACAAAUGCCCUGCUUCCAGGAAAAGCCUCUAAGCAUCAGGUAACAUCAAAUCGUACCCCAAACCGACACAGGUGGUCAGGUAGAGAAUACCAAGGCGCUUGAGAGAACUCGGGUGAAGGAACUAGGCAAAAUGGUGCCGUAACUUCGGGAGAAGGCACGCUGAUAUGUAGGUGAAGUCCCUCGCGGAUGGAGCUGAAAUCAGUCGAAGAUACCAGCUGGCUGCAACUGUUUAUUAAAAACACAGCACUGUGCAAACACGAAAGUGGACGUAUACGGUGUGACGCCUGCCCGGUGCCGGAAGGUUAAUUGAUGGGGUUAGCGGUAACGCGAAGCUCUUGAUCGAAGCCCCGGUAAACGGCGGCCGUAACUAUAACGGUCCUAAGGUAGCGAAAUUCCUUGUCGGGUAAGUUCCGACCUGCACGAAUGGCGUAAUGAUGGCCAGGCUGUCUCCACCCGAGACUCAGUGAAAUUGAACUCGCUGUGAAGAUGCAGUGUACCCGCGGCAAGACGGAAAGACCCCGUGAACCUUUACUAUAGCUUGACACUGAACAUUGAGCCUUGAUGUGUAGGAUAGGUGGGAGGCUUUGAAGUGUGGACGCCAGUCUGCAUGGAGCCGACCUUGAAAUACCACCCUUUAAUGUUUGAUGUUCUAACGUUGACCCGUAAUCCGGGUUGCGGACAGUGUCUGGUGGGUAGUUUGACUGGGGCGGUCUCCUCCUAAAGAGUAACGGAGGAGCACGAAGGUUGGCUAAUCCUGGUCGGACAUCAGGAGGUUAGUGCAAUGGCAUAAGCCAGCUUGACUGCGAGCGUGACGGCGCGAGCAGGUGCGAAAGCAGGUCAUAGUGAUCCGGUGGUUCUGAAUGGAAGGGCCAUCGCUCAACGGAUAAAAGGUACUCCGGGGAUAACAGGCUGAUACCGCCCAAGAGUUCAUAUCGACGGCGGUGUUUGGCACCUCGAUGUCGGCUCAUCACAUCCUGGGGCUGAAGUAGGUCCCAAGGGUAUGGCUGUUCGCCAUUUAAAGUGGUACGCGAGCUGGGUUUAGAACGUCGUGAGACAGUUCGGUCCCUAUCUGCCGUGGGCGCUGGAGAACUGAGGGGGGCUGCUCCUAGUACGAGAGGACCGGAGUGGACGCAUCACUGGUGUUCGGGUUGUCAUGCCAAUGGCACUGCCCGGUAGCUAAAUGCGGAAGAGAUAAGUGCUGAAAGCAUCUAAGCACGAAACUUGCCCCGAGAUGAGUUCUCCCUGACUCCUUGAGAGUCCUGAAGGAACGUUGAAGACGACGACGUUGAUAGGCCGGGUGUGUAAGCGCAGCGAUGCGUUGAGCUAACCGGUACUAAUGAACCGUGAGGCUUAACCU
rnacentral:rRNA from 1 species